rnacentral:snoRNA from 1 species
GAGUUAGCGAUGAUUAUGAAAGUAAUUCCUCAUUCUGACUUGCUUUAACUUUGACAUAACAAACUUCUUAUUAUAACCAUAGAAUCUGAGUUCC